AACGAACGCUGGCGGCAUGCCUAACACAUGCAAGUUGAGCGAGAACCAGAGGGCUUGCUCUUUGGGGAAAGCGGCGCACGGGUGAGUAACGCGUGGAUAACGUGCCCUGGGGUUGGGGAUAACCCACCGAAAGGUGAGCUAAUACCGAAUGUGUUCCAAGAGGGCUAGCCUUUUUGGAAGAAAGUGGGGCAACCCACGCCCGAGGAUCGGUCCGCGUUCCAUCAGCUAGUUGGUAGGGUAAAGGCCUACCAAGGCUACGACGGAUAGCUG
rnacentral:rRNA from 1 species